UACGGAGGGUGCAAGCGUUGUUCGGAAUUAUUGGGCUUAAAGGGUGCGUAGGCGGCUAGAUAAGUCAGUAUUGAAAGGUUGCGGCUUGACCGUGAGAGUGGUAUUGAAACUGUUUAGCUUGAGUGUUAGGGAAGGAGCAGGAAUCGGCGGUGUAGCGGUGAAAUGCAUAGAUAUCGUCGAGAAGGUCGAUAGCGAAAGCAUGUUCCUGUCUAACAACUGACGCUGAGGCACGAAAGUAUGGGUAGCGAACGGG
rnacentral:rRNA from 1 species